rnacentral:rRNA from 1 species
UACGUAGGGUGCAAGCGUUGUUCGGAGUUACUGGGCGUAAAGGGUGUGUAGGCGGUUGUUUAAGUUUGGUGUGAAAUCUCCCGGCUCAACUGGGAGGGUGCGCCGAAUACUGAAUGACUUGGAGUGCGGGAGAGGAAAGUGGAAUUCCUGGUGUAGCGGUGAAAUGCGUAGAUAUCAGGAGGAACACCGGUGGUGAAGGCGGUUCUCUGGGCAUUACCUGACGCUGAGGAGCGAAAGUGUGGGGAGCGAACAGG